rnacentral:rRNA from 1 species
GGCGGACGGGUGAGUAACACGUGGGUAACCUGCCUGUAAGACUGGGAUAACUCCGGGAAACCGGAGCUAAUACCGGAUAGUUCCUUGAACCGCAUGGUUCAAGGAUGAAAGACGGUUUCGGCUGUCACUUACAGAUGGACCCGCGGCGCAUUAGCUAGUUGGUGGGGUAAUGGCUCACCAAGGCGACGAUGCGUAGCCGACCUGAGAGGGUGAUCGGCCACACUGGGACUGAGACACGGCCCAGACUCCUACGGGAGGCAGCAGUAGGGAAUCUUCCGCAAUGGACGAAAGUCUGACGGAGCAACGCCGCGUGAGUGAUGAAGGUUUUCGGAUCGUAAAGCUCUGUUGUUAGGGAAGAACAAGUGCGAGAGUAACUGCUCGCACCUUGACGGUACCUAACCAGAAAGCCACGGCUAACUACGUGCCAGCAGCCGCGGUAAUACGUAGGUGGCAAGCGUUGUCCGGAAUUAUUGGGCGUAAAGGGCUCGCAGGCGGUUUCUUAAGUCUGAUGUGAAAGCCCCCGGCUCAACCGGGGAGGGUCAUUGGAAACUGGGAAACUUGAGUGCAGAAGAGGAGAGUGGAAUUCCACGUGUAGCGGUGAAAUGCGUAGAGAUGUGGAGGAACACCAGUGGCGAAGGCGACUCUCUGGUCUGUAACUGACGCUGAGGAGCGAAAGCGUGGGGAGCGAACAGGAUUAGAUACCCUGGUAGUCCACGCCGUAAACGAUGAGUGCUAAGUGUUAGGG